UUCAACCUUCUACAUUCAAGAACAUGGAGAAAAUAGGGUUCAUGAUUUAGUUUCAAACUUAAGGACCCACUUCUAAGAAGGAUUAAAUUGGUCAUCUAGCAUCCAAUUGAAGCUGAAAUUAGAGGCGUUCAGUAGAUAGCGAUCAGGUCGAGCCUCCACUCCUUGUUUCGGAAGGCUCCUUACGUUUUGCGUGUACAGCUUCUGACUCUCUAGCGCUGCAGUAGUUCAGACGUAUACUUUUGUCGAGGUCCUAUUAGCGGUUUAUUGUAUUUUGGUUUAGUAACCGCUCAUGUCUAUAUCCUUUUGUUAGGCCUCGUUUUCUGAUUAACAAACAAACAUCAGAGGUAGCUUUAGUUUAAAACGCUUAAUAUAUGUAUUUUGUAAAUGCUUAGAAUGAUACUUAGCGAUAUUUAUAUAUAUGUGUGUGCGGUUGUACAA